CCUACGGGUGGCUGCAGUGAGGAAUAUUGGUCAAUGGACGAGAGUCUGAACCAGCCAAGUAGCGUGAAGGAUGACUGCCCUAUGGGUUGUAAACUUCUUUUAUAUGGGAAUAAAAUGUUCCACGUGUGGGAUUUUGUAUGUACCAUAUGAAUAAGGAUCGGCUAACUCCGUUCCAGCAGCCGCGGUAAUACGGAGGAUCCGGGCGUUAUCCGGAUUUAUUUGGUUUAAAGGGAGCGUAGGUGGAUUGUUAAGUCAGUUGUGAAAGUUUGCGGCACAAACGGAAAAUUGCAGUUGAAACUGGCAGUCUUGAGUACAGUAGAGGUGGGCGGAAUUCGGGGUGGAGCGGUGAAAUGCUUAGAUAUCACGAAGAACUCCGAUUGCGAAGGCAGUUCACUGGACUGAAACGGAAACUGAGGCUCGAAAGUGUGGGUAUCAAACAGGAUUAGAUACCCGAGUAGUC
rnacentral:rRNA from 1 species